GGCUUAUUGAUAAUAAUUUUAGGUCGAUCUGCCCAAUGAUAAAUAAUUAAAUGGCUGCAGUAUGUUUGACUGUACAAAGGUAGCAUAAUCAAUUGUUCUUUAAUUAAGAUCUAGAAUGAAAGAAUUAAUGAGAUAUAUACUGUCUCAUAUAUAUAUAAUGAAUUUAAAUUUUUGGUUAAAAUGCCAAAAUUAAUUUAUGGGACGAUAAGACCCUAUAGAAUUUUAUAUUAAUUAUAAAAAUUAAACUUAUUAAUUUAAUUUUUAUAUUAAUAUUUGAUUGGGAGGAUUAGUAAAUUUAAUAAACUUUAUUUUAAAUUAAAACUUUGAUUUAAGAAUUUUUUUGAUCUUGUAUUAUAAAUAAAAAGAAAAAAUUACCUUAGGGAUAACAGCGUAAUAUCUUUUUAAAGGUCAUAUUAAUAAAGAUGUUUGCGACCUCGAUGUUGAAUUAAGAUAAAUUUUAGAUGAAGAAGUUUAAAGAUUAAGUCUGUUCGACUUUUAAAAUCUUACAUGAUUUGAGUUCAAAUCGACGUGAGU
rnacentral:rRNA from 1 species